GCAGGAGCUCAGGGACCUGUGGAAAAACAACAAAAGAUCCAAUAUUUGUGUGACUGGAGUCCAGCAGCAGAGGAGGACAGUGGGGAUGGAAGGAAAGUCAAAGAAAUAAUGCCCCAAAACUCCCUAAAUUUGGCAAAGGACACAAACUUUGGAUUCAAGAAAUUAAGUAAAAACCAAAAGUGAUAAACAACAAGAAAAAUCCACACAUUGUGAUUAAGCUUCUGAAAGUUAUACACAAAAACAGAUCUUAAAAGCAGCUUGAGAGAAAAAACAAAUUAUGUAGAGGGGAGAGCAAUUUGAGUGACAGCAGACUUUUCAUCUGAAACCAAAGAGGCCAAAAAGAAGCGACACCAGAUUUCCCAACUACAUAGAAAGAGAAGAACUGUCAGCUGCAAAUUCUACAUGCAGCAAAAUAUCCUUCAGGAAUGAAGAGAACAUAAGACAUUUGCAGAUGAAGAUGACAUUUUGCACAUGUCUGUCUAUGGAGCAGCUCUGUCUAUGGAGCAGCCCCUCUUUCCCCUGCUGAUCACACCCACUUUUCUUGCCCCACAAUUCUAAUCAUGUGCAGGUAUGUUCUGCACCUUCAUCUCCUUAUUGAUCAAUUUAUCUCUGUCCCAGUUCAUGCUGGCUUAAUUCUCUGGCCUCGUGGCAAGUCCUCCUAUCUUAGAGUGGUAUCCUGGCUAUUCCAGACCCUUCACUGCAAGAAUUUUUAAAUCAGUUUAUCAAGUUUCAUGGAAAAAUAUCUGACGGUAGUUUGACUGCAACGGUAUUAAAUACGUAAAGGAAGUUGGGAAGAUUCAACAUCUUGACGUUAUUUUCUUCCCAUGCAGUAACAUGGAAUUUCUCUGCUUUUUAGUUGUCUCUUAAUAAAUUUUUAAGUUUUCAUGUUAACAAAAAGAAAAAAUGUCAUUUCACACAGUCUGCAAGAAGCUUAUUACUCCAACUUUCCUUUACUUUCCACCCUAUUUCUGACUUGAUUUUCCCCAGGAAAGUGUACAUUUGCCACAAAGGGGACCAAGACCUUGCUAAUGACAGAAAGUUAGCAGGCGGCAGAGCCAUGGGGACAGCUGUGUGCCCUCUGCAGAGCCCGCUGAGUACCAGGGGUGUCUGGCUGUGUGAACCAUGGUCUUCCCAUUCCAGCAGGGAUGGCAGGGAACCCCAAGACUCACAUCUUUCAGGACCAAAUCUUGCUGUUGGGUGACCUUUUCUUUCUCAUUCUCUCAUUGCUGUUAAGGGGCUCCAUUCUAGAAGCUUCUCUAUCUGCACUGGUCAUCACCCAGCAAUGAGAGCUGUCAUUCCUGGGUCCUCUGCCCAGCUGUCCUCACCCUGUUCUAACCCUGAUCUCUCUCACUCUGAGUUUAUAAAAUCCCACAUCACUUUCAUUUGCCUAGUCUACCUGGUACCCACCCACCUUUUCCUCUGACCCUCCGCCUGCUCUCCCUGAGGCUAGUUACCUAUGAAAUGUGAGACACAGUGCCAUUCAGGCCAGAAGUCACCUUGUUAUUUGGUGGCAGAACUGGAAGCUGAGCCAGUUCUUUGGUUUCUCAAUCCAGUGUUUGUUAACUUAUAUCCCAGCAAGAAGAAGGUGGGACUGAGUGGUCUGAAAAGGGGCGUCCUGGACCUCCAGCCCUGACUGCAAACUGAGACUCAGGUGCCUCUGCAUCACGGCAGGACUCCUGGAGUGCAGGCUGCCUCAGGUGGGCUUUUGGCACAGUGGGCAGGGAGAAAUUCCCAACAGACAAGGGACGCAGAGCCAGUCCCAGAUGGGCCAUCUGAUGGCUGCAGGACCAAGUUUCACAAGCCACUUAACGUCCUUCAGCCCCGCCACCACCAAGACUGCCUCCCCACCACCCUGACCAGAUUCAAACUCGGCUGGGUGGCUUUAUGCUGUAAGAUGUGAUUUACUGGUUUUUUAGAGUAUGGGAAGAAGCGGAACAGGAGCCCAGGACAAGGACAGGGACUAAAGGGCAGGAGAGGGAAAAGCCAGGCCUGCUGUGGAUAAACAGUCCUUAAUACAUAAACUGCUUCCUAGAACUUCCACGAUCACCCAGCCCAAGCUCCACCCAUGGCCAACUUCCAUCCUGCUUCCAGAGCAAUGAUGCCCAUGCUGCAGGCUUUUAAAACACAGAUGUCUCAAAAAUGUUUCAAAAUCCUGGUUAUAUCAUACACACCAAAUUUCUUUAUAAAGGGAACAAUGGAAAUCAGAAUAGCUGUGUUUUGCUGAGCGCCUGCUGUCUGCCGGACACUGUGCUAACCACAGUAGGCAUUACCUGACCUAAUCCUCAUAAAAAGGGUUUCCUUGUGCAAAUGUAUCCCUAUCUCCCAGAUGAAAAAACAGAUUCUGACUGAUGAAGUUAAGAAACAUGUUCAAAGAAGGCCACCUCAUCUCUGACCUGAAAAGCCAUGUGCUUUUCACAAGACACCCCUGCCUCCCAUCAGGGAGAUCCAAGCAAAGUUUGUGCUUCAGUGUAAUAACCACCCUGCCCUCAAGGAGCUAGCUGCCUCCUUCCCCUCAAUACAACAUAAGGCUGUCUAGUCUCAGAGGGGACAAGGAACCUGCUGUUCAGCUGUCCACAUGUUGGGGAGGCACAGGUGCCCACAGCUGGGGACCACCACUCAGGGAUCCCAACCAGCCAGUGGAGGGAGACAAUCGCUCUCUCCUGGUAUAAGUGGAUCAAAACACUCUAGUCUCACUAUUGGAGUUUGAAAAAUAUUAUCAUCCUAACCAGACAAUUUCUAAUAUAUCAAUAGACAUAGGGAGUUCGUGGGAAAUUACUGUUGUGUAUAAACUGCAUGAAAAGGACAGGAACAGUGGAGCAGAAGCUAUCUUCCGUUCAGUGGCAGAGAACCCCGCACCCUGCAGAGGGGGAAAGCACGCGAGACCCUCAGGCUGGAAGGGGCUGGGUGAACAGACGGAGGGGCUUGUCCUUCCGGUGAUGGCACAGGCUUUCCGCUACAAAGCGUUUGGAUCUUCCUCUUCCAGAUCUUCCCGGCUAAAGCACCGUGUUAGCCCAGAGUAAGCAGAAAGCCGACACCAGCAGAUCCGCUGGCACGCACGCCCAGGCGGACAUGCACCCUCGGAGCCAGACCCACUCCGCCGCUCACCCCGGAGAUACCGGCUGGGGGUCCCAGACACUCAUCUGUCCCAAGCUCGGGCGACGAGCCGUGAGCAGGUUACCGCAGGACCGCGCGUCCUGUCUCAAGCCACGGGCUUGUUCAGGAAGGCUCCGUGCUCCCGCAGUAGGCAAGGCGCCCCCUUAGGGACCCUGACCUUCCUCCUCCCACUUGCUUUUAGCAUUUAGUUAAAAACAAAACAGAAAAAUCCAACCACUGCCUGUCCUAGGAGGCCGCGCGGGAGCCCCGGGGGCCGCCGGUGGGUGCAGACCACACAGCCCCGGGACGGGGCGGGCACUCUCGGCUUGAGCGGAAGAAUGUGCUGCGCUGGGAGGCAGCGGCCCCGGAGCCGCACGGCUGGGAGGCCGGCUUCGCCCGCCCGCCGCUGCAGGGAGGCUCGGCGAAGACAAAGCCGGGCCCUCUGCCGGGAGGAGGGGCCCUCCCGCGGGGCUGCGGCGUUCCGUCCCGGGCCGUAGGGUCUGAGGGCCGUCGCCAAGUGACGGGGACGCGGGCCAGCAUCACCCAAGGGAGAAGAAGCGCGCAUGAAUGGGCCCAGUGACCCCUGGGAGAAGACCCCCAGAGAGGUGGAGGCCUGCUCUUCCUGGGCCUGCCCCAAAGCAGACCCCAGUUCCGUGGUCCCCAUCCCAGGCUCACAGCAGAGAAGCCUCCAAGCACCACAGGGCUCCCUGGUCAGCUCUCUACUCCCAUGCACAAACCCGCUUCCCUCCCCCACCCCACACAGGGGCUCCCCUCCAAUCUGGUCCCGGUCCCCCACACUGGCCCCAAGAGCCUUCCCUCCAUCCCUGCCCAAGUCAACAGGGACUUCCUCCUGCUCCAUCCCUGCAGGUUUUCUUCCUGACCACAGUGGACACCAGUGUGUGCCCAGAUUCCAUUUGCAGAGUCUCUUUCCAACUCAGCCUACUCCACCUGGCUGGCAGCCUACUCCUCCAACAGGCGCUGGCAGGUCUCAAAACACUGCCUCUUUCUUCUCUCUUCUCUACUGAUGGCUGUCCCUCUAGGAGGCCAACCCCUCCCCAACCCCCAUGCCAACUGAUGAAGAACUACACACUCUUGAAAACCCACUUCAAAUGAUCCUGCAUUUUUACAGGACCUGGCACACUACCCCUGAGUCAGGUGGAGGUAUGUGCUCCAUGCCCUGUGGCCUGAAGUCUGACUGUAACAAGUCCAUGCAGCAGAGGACAGGGGCUCUGUGGUUGCAGCCUCAGAGACUGAAGCUCUCAAGGGCAGAUGUGCAUGAAGCUGACACCCACCACACACAGCACAGAGUGGGCACUCCUCCCUUCUGCUACCUCACAGGUCACCAGAUCCUAUGGUUGAUGCCAUCUCCCCUGAAGUCUGCCCUGAAGAGAAGGUCCUGUGUCCCUCCUGUGAUGCUCCUUUCUUCCUCUUAGCGCAGACGGCUUUCAGCGCACCACAGUGGGGCCAGGAGCACACACAUGCAGGCUUCCAGAAAUGCUGCCAGCUACACCGAACUGAGCUGCCCCCUGCCCAGCACCAGCAGGACCCUCUGACCUGCUCAUCAACCUGGUGAAAGCUCAAAGUUACAUGCCCCUAGCUCACCAGGGGAGACAGGCAUGCCCAGAACCCUUGGGCCACUGCUUCACGUUAGGGGCCAGGAAGCUCUCCAGGCCCCUCUGCGCAGAGGUCUGAGAAGGCACUUCUUCCUGGUUGUUUAUGUGCUUGAAGGGUAGCAGCUCCUGCAAAGCAUCUGUCAGAAAUGCCUGACCGUGGCUCAGAGCAGGCCCAGCCAGUGGCAAAUGGAUGGGCCUUUCCACAGCCCAUCACUCCCUGAGCAGAGAGGAAGGCGACGGCCACACUGCUAGGCCCAGGAAGGGCUCAGCACAGGUCCUCCCUUGGUGCCCAUUGGACGCCAUGGUCCUGAUGGGUCUGGGGUAGCCCCUGCUUUCGGAAACUCUGCCUCUGUGUUGCUAUGUCCAACUGUUCCCUGACCAGGGCAACAGUGGGUGGGACCCUGUGCAUGCCAGUGAGCCUUCUGGAGACCAUCUGCUUGCCUCUCCCUCUCUGCUGGGCCAGAGCAACAGGAGCUGAGCUGAGGCCAUGAAUUUCAAGGAUGCGCUCCAAGCAGCAGCAAUUCUGCUGAUAAAAAGUUAGAAACUUGUCCCUUGAAACUGCUAUGACCUUUAGCAGCUUGGAUCUGGGUCACCAGGGUACCUGCCGGCUGACACCUCACAGGGCGCCUGGAAGGUCAUCCACAUCAGCUUAGUGGAGUCAGGGUCACAAGCAGACAAUGUGGGCAACACGGACCUUCCCUGGCAGGCGCCGGCGGCCCUUUGCCUCCCUCCCCUCCUUCAGCUGGAACCAAGCCCUUCCCUCAGUAAAAGGCUUCUCUCUCCUGCUCAUUCACUUACUAACUUAUUAGAAAAAAUGAAUAUUUAUCCAGAACCUUCUCUAUGCCAGAUGCCUACAGCUUCACGAUGACCAAAACGAAGAGUUCCAGGGCUAAGAGAGGGAGACUGACCAUAGACCCGAUCCAGCCCCUGACCUCUACAGGCCCAUCUCGCCCCCGAGAACAUAUUCAAGUGCAGGUGUCUGCAGGACAUCUCUUCUUAGGAUCUUGGACUUGACAUAGCAGAGAGUGUCAGACGUCUUAUAUGGAGGCUGCCUCAGGGAAAGGGGGUGACUCCUGAAAACUGGUGAUGGGUCAGCGCCACAGGAAGGAGGCCACCAGUGACCCCGAAUGUGUCUUCAGCAAGGACUGUGAUCCUCCACUCACUCCCAUGGGCUUUUCUGUGUGCAUUUUGGAAAUAGACAUGUAAGUCAAGAGGAAAAUGGGUGUAUAACUAGAGCUGUCAAUCAAAUUACCUCACCCUGUCAAAGAAAUGCCUCCUGGCUAGGCUGUGAUAAAUAGGCCCUCUCUAAAAAUUCAGGGCCUUUGUCUACCCUGACUCCGGCUCACUCCUCCCUUGGAGGGUAUUCAAAUAAAACUUUCG